CCUGUGUGCAGUGAGGCAGCAACGAGCUACUAACAUCUGUGAGCAGAGGAAAGCUUUUUCUGUUUGAGAUUAUUAUUAAUUAUUAUUCCAAGAUUCGUUUUUCCUGUCGUGUUUGCUCUGAUUUCCACUGCAGCUGCACUCGUCAGCAGUGUCUAAAACCCCCCAGAAAAGACGAAAUCAUUAAUCGUCUUCUGCAGUGCGAUAAAGAGUUCCCUGGACUUAUUUCCUGAGUGAGCACGGGAAGGGUCAAAGGUCAUGGUGGACUUGAUUUUCAGUGUGUACAGACAGCUAGCUCGGGCAGGACGACACCCAUCCUGUCCCACAGGUCAGGAGGAAGGACGGGGGACGAGAGAGGAGAGAAGAUGACAACACAACGCAUUGCUGGCUCCCAAACGCAUCGCUGACCUUUGACCUUUAUCCACUGAACCGAGACGGAAAGUGGUGAAGAGAAACCUCGACAGCUGACAGAUGAAGAGGGGCGAGAGAAGUUUAAUUAGAGAGAGAAGAAAGGAUUUAAGGAACCUCCCACCAGGUGUCAGUGUCCUGGAGCUUCAUGAGCAAACACUCCGUCCGUCAGUGCUCCCUGGGUUGAGUCUGAGGAGGUCAAGACCCGAUCAGAUCAGAAAAAUCGGAUCAAUCCGGCCUUCAACCGCCAAUUCUUAAAGGUUGUUUGAGGUCCCUCGGUGCUGCAGUGCCUCUGAGCAGGCACAACAUCCAAGAAGACGUUGUGCGUUCUGCCGCUGUUGCCUGCCAGCUUGCUUCUCCACGUCCAGACUCCUUGCUGAUGGGCCCAGACUAUGUACUGGGAGAAAAAUGCUGUUAAUGGUGGUGUAAAGCCGCCCUGAUGGCGUGUCCACAGCAUUGGACCGAAGCCGCAUAAGACCCUGAGGUCUUGUGUCUCUGUCGUAGAAACGCUACCUGCACAGCUACAGCUUCGGGGACGUGAAGCAGCAGAAAGACAAUAACAGCACAGCGAUGAGGGAAGGUGGCGAAGGACAACAGUUUCCCGACACAUACAUCAACAGAUCGGGUCACCUACACUCAGUCACAACAACAUCACACAAACCCUUUUAAAACCUUCAGAAACACCACACAGGAACCAGAAA
ensembl:lncRNA